UACGUCGGGGGCAAGCGUUGUCCGGAUUUACUGGGUGUAAAGGGCGCGCAGGCGGAAUAACAAGUCAGAGGUGAAAUCCUACAGCUUAACUGUAGAACUGCCUUUGAUACUGUUAUUCUUGAGUUCGGAAGAGAGAGACGGAAUUCCAGGUGUAGUGGUGAAAUACGUAGAUAUCUGGAAGAACACCAGUUGCGAAGGCGGUCUCUUGGUCCGAUACUGACGAUGAGGCGCGAGAGCGUGGGGAGCAAACAGG
rnacentral:rRNA from 1 species